rnacentral:lncRNA from 1 species
CUCAGGAAAAGUUUGGAACAUGAGAUGAUAUUCUCCACUCGAAUAAGAUGCUGGCAGGAACUGGAUAGAAGACUGGUGGAGAUACAGUGGAUGUAUAUGAAGAAGGAGGAUUGAUGACUAAAGCUCCAACUUCCUUCCUCACAUCACUGAUGUUAUGCAUGUAGGACAUGAAGUCUGGAUGAAAGGUGAAUGGCUUCUAAAUGGAUUUGCCUCCUCCCUGAGGUCAGGC